GAUGAACGCUGGCGGCGUGCCUAAUACAUGCAAGUCGAGCGAACAGACGAGGAGCUUGCUCCUCUGACGUUAGCGGCGGACGGGUGAGUAACACGUGGAUAACCUACCUAUAAGACUGGGAUAACUUCGGGAAACCGGAGCUAAUACCGGAUAAUAUAUUGAACCGCAUGGUUCAAUAGUGAAAGACGGUUUUGCAGUCACUUAUAGAUGGAUCCGCGCCGCAUUAGCUAGUUGGUAAGGUAACGGCUUACCAAGGCAACGAUGCGUAGCCGACCUGAGAGGGUGAUCGGCCACACUGGAACUGAGACACGGUCCAGACUCCUACGGGAGGCAGCAGUAGGGAAUCUUCCGCAAUGGGCGAAAUCUUGCCGGAGCAACGCCGCGUGAGUGAUGAAGGUCUUCGGAUCGUAAACCUCUGUUAUUAGGGAAGAACAAAUGUGUAAGUAACUAUGCACGUCUUGACGGUACCUAAUCAGAAAGCCACGGCUAACUACGUG
rnacentral:rRNA from 1 species